AUGUGGCUUUUUUUGCAGAUCUUAUGGUUUAGAAGAGUGGUAUUGGGAGGACUGGCCACGUGCACUGUUCUGAACAUCUUAUGGUGCUGGGCAGUGUUGGAGAUUGUUCCCCAGAUGACUGUACAGCGGGUGCUGGAGGAAGGAGGCUUGAAUUCCUCUGGUGUCCUGAUGCAGGCCCCUGUGCCGACACACACAUUUAUCUACUCCAAUAUCUCUCUGGAAGAUUCAGAGAAAGCUGGGGAGAUUGCUACCAUACCUCUGACGAAGAUCAUCACACAGAGGUACCGGCGCUUCACGUGGGUGGCUGACUUGAUCCAGAUAUUUAUUGCCGUCAGUAUAACAGUGUCGUUCCUCGUGAUGGGAUCUGCCAUGAAGCACACGCUUGGUGGCAUGGUGAACACACAAGGGGACAUGAUGACCGAAUGGAUGUCCAGACUCAGAGCAAGGAUAUUGCAGCGGAAUUUGCAGUGCUGUAAUAAUACAAAAGGAUUGGCUAGUGGACUGGCAUCCUUUCUAGCGUUUGCGCUCAUUUUUAUUGUAUCUGCCUCUGAUCCAAAGGGGUUUGUAGUGAUCCUGGAUAAGGUGGUGUCCUUCUCUCUGAACACUGAAGUGGGGCUCUUCAUCUUUGUGAUGUUGAGGACAGCCCAAUCAGAUCAUUUCAAGAACUUCACAGUGCCUUUGCCUGUAGGGGAGCUUGGGUCCAGCCUGAUCUGGGCACUGCCGGUCUACUUCCUCUUUGCCGUGGGUUACGACAUCGUGCAGAGUCUGGUGGAGAUCGUUGAAGGCUUCUACCUUCCCCAUUUUCCCUUCAGCAAUUCUUCAGUACUCUGA
rnacentral:lncRNA from 1 species